AGCUUGCUUCCUUGAGACCGGCGCACGGGUGCGUAACGCGUAUGCAAUCUGCCUUGUACUGAGGGAUAGCCCAGAGAAAUUUGGAUUAAUACCUCAUAGCAUUAUGAAAUCGCAUGGUUUUAUAAUUAAAGUUCCAACGGUACAAGAUGAGCAUGCGUCCCAUUAGUUAGUUGGUAAGGUAACGGCUUACCAAGACGAUGAUGGGUAGGGGUCCUGAGAGGGAGAUCCCCCACACUGGUACUGAGACACGGACCAGACUCCUACGGGAGGCAGCAGUGAGGAAUAUUGGUCAAUGGACGCAAGUCUGAACCAGCCAUGCCGCGUGCAGGAUGAAGCAUCUAUGGUGUGUAAACUGCUUUUGUACGGGAAGAAACACUCCUACGUGUAGGAGCUUGACGGUACCGUAAGAAUAAGGAUCGGCUAACUCCGUGCCAGCAGCCGCGGUAAU
rnacentral:rRNA from 1 species